GAACGCUGGCGGCGUGCCUAAUACAUGCAAGUUGAGCGCUGAAGGUUGGUACUUGUACCGACUGGAUGAGCAGCGAACGGGUGAGUAACGCGUGGGGAAUCUGCCUCUGAGCGGGGGACAACAUUUGGAAACGAAUGCUAAUACCGCAUAAAAACUUUAAACACAAGUUUUAAGUUUGAAAGAUGCAAUUGCAUCACUCAAAGAUGAUCCCGCGUUGUAUUAGCUAGUUGGUGAGGUAAAGGCUCACCAAGGCGAUGAUACAUAGCCGACCUGAGAGGGUGAUCGGCCACAUUGGGACUGAGACACGGCCCAAACUCCUACGGGAGGCAGCAGUAGGGAAUCUUCGGCAAUGGACGAAAGUCUGACCGAGCAACGCCGCGUGAGUGAAGAAGGUUUUCGGAUCGUAAAACUCUGUUGGUAGAGAAGAAUGUUGGUGAGAGUGGAAAGCUCAUCAAGUGACGGUAACUACCCAGAAAGGGACGGCUAACUACGUGCCAGCCGCCGCGGUAAUUC
rnacentral:rRNA from 1 species